AGAGUUUGAUCAUGGCUCAGAAUGAACGCUGGCGGCGUGCUUAACACAUGCAAGUCGAACGAUGAAGCCUAGCUUGCUAGGUGGAUUAGUGGCGCACGGGUGAGUAAUAUAUAGGUAACGUGCCUCUUAGUCUGGGAUAGCCAUUGGAAACGAUGAUUAAUACUGGAUACUCCUUCUAACUCUAAUGUUAGUCGGGAAAGUUUUUCGCUAAGAGAUCGGCCUAUUUCCCAUCAGCUUGUUGGUAGUGUAAGAGACUACCAAGGCUAUGACGGGUAGCGGGUUUGAGAGGAUGAUCCGCCACACUGGUACUGAGACACGGACCAGACUCCUACGGGAGGCAGCAGUGAGGAAUAUUGCACAAUGGAGGAAACUCUGAUGCAGCAACGCCGCGUGGAGGAUGACGCAUUUCGGUGUGUAAACUCCUUUUAUGAGUCAAGAAAAUGACGGUAGCUCAUGAAUAAGCACCGGCUAACUCCGUGCCAGCAGCCGCGGUAAUACGGAGGGUGCAAGCGUUAUUCGGAAUCACUGGGCGUAAAGGACGCGUAGGCGGGAAGCCAAGUCUGAUGUGAAAUCCUAUGGCUCAACCAUAGAACUGCAUUGGAAACUGGUUACCUAGAGUAUGGGAGGGGGAGAUGGAAUUAGUGGUGUAGGGGUAAAAUCCGUAGAUAUCACUAGGAAUACCGAAAGCGAAGGCGAUCUCCUGGAACAAUACUGACGCUAAGGCGUGAAAGCGUGGGGAGCAAACGGGAUUAGAUACCCUGGUAGUCCACGCCCUAAACGAUGUACAUUAGUUGUUGCGAUGCUAGACAUUGCAGUAAUGCAGUUAACACAUUAAAUGUACCGCCUGGGGAGUACGGUCGCAAGAUUAAAACUCAAAGGAAUAGACGGGGACCCGCACAAGCGGUGGAGCACGUGGUUUAAUUCGACGAUACGCGAAGAACCUUACCUGGCCUUGACAUAGAAAGAAUUUAGCAGAGAUGUAAAAGUGCUAGUUUACUAGAGCUUUCAUACAGGUGCUGCACGGCUGUCGUCAGCUCGUGUCGUGAGAUGUUAGGUUAAGUCCUGCAACGAGCGCAACCCUCGUGUUUAGUUACUAACAGUUCGGCUGAGGACUCUAGACAUACUGCCUGGGCAACCAGGAGGAAGGUGAGGACGACGUCAAGUCAUCAUGGCCCUUACGGCCAGGGCUACACACGUGCUACAAUGGGGUAUACAAAGAGCCGCAAUACCGCGAGGUGGAGCAAAUCUCAUAAAAUAUCUCCCAGUUCGGAUUACACUCUGCAACUCGAGUGUAUGAAGUUGGAAUCGCUAGUAAUCGUAGAUCAGCAAUGCUACGGUGAAUACGUUCCCGGGUCUUGUACUCACCGCCCGUCACACCAUGGGAGUUGAAUUCAUUCGAAGCGGGGAUGCUAAAAUAGCUACCUUCCACAGUGGAUUUAGUAACUAGGGUGAAGUCGUAACAAGGUAACC
rnacentral:rRNA from 1 species